rnacentral:rRNA from 1 species
GACGAACGCUGGCGGCGUGCCUAAUACAUGCAAGUAGAACGCACAGUUUAUAUCGUUGCUUGCUCCACAAUAGACUGUGAGGUGCGAAUGGGGGAGUAACGCGUAGGUAACCUGCCUGGUAGCGGGGGAUAAAUAUUGGAAACGAAAGCUAAAACCGCAUAAUAUUGAUUAUUGCAUGAUAAUAGAUGGAAAGACACUAUUGCAUCACUACCAGACGGAGUUGUGUUGUAUUAGCUAGUAGGAGAGGUAACGGCUCACCUAGGCGACGAUACAUAGCCGACCUGAGAGGGUGAUCGGCCACACUGGGACUGAGACACGGCCCAAACUCCUACGGGAGGCAGCAGUAGGGAAUCUUCGGCAAUGGACGAAAGUCUGACCGAGCAACGCCGCGUGAGUGAAGAAGGUUUUCGGAUCGUAAAGCUCUGUUGUAAGAGAAGAACGGGUGUGAGAGUGGAAAGUUCACACUGUGACGGUAUCCUACCAGAAAGGGACGGCUAACUACGUG